CCUACGGGUGGCUGCAGUGGGGAAUAUUGGACAAUGGGCGAAAGCCUGAUCCAGCCAAGCCGCGUGUGUGAAGAAGGCCUUCGGGUUGUAAAGCACUUUCAGUGGGGAAGAAAGCCUUGGGGCUAAUACCCUCGAGGAAGGACAUCACCCACAGAAGAAGCACCGGCUAACUCCGUGCCAGCAGCCGCGGUAAUACGGAGGGUGCGAGCGUUAAUCGGAAUUACUGGGCGUAAAGCGCGCGUAGGCGGUCUGAUAAGCCGGUUGUGAAAGCCCCGGGCUCAACCUGGGAACGGCAUCCGGAACUGUCAGGCUAGAGUGCAGGAGAGGAAGGUAGAAUUCCCGGUGUAGCAGUGAAAUGCGUAGAGAUCGGGAGGAAUACCAGUGGCGAAGGCGGCCUUCUGGACUGACACUGACGCUGAGGUGCGAAAGCGUGGGUAGCAAACAGGAUUAGAUACCCCUGUAGUC
rnacentral:rRNA from 1 species